rnacentral:rRNA from 1 species
UACGGGGGGGGCAAGCGUUGUUCGGAAUUACUGGGCGUAAAGGGCGCGUAGGCGGGGAGGUAAGUCGGGUGUGAAAUCCCUCGGCUCAACCGAGGAACUGCGCCCGAGACUGCCUUUCUUGAGUCCCGGAGAGGAAGGUGGAAUUCCCGGUGUAGCGGUGAAAUGUGUAGAGAUCGGGAGGAACACCGGUGGCGAAGGCGGCCUUCUGGACGGUGACUGACGCUGAGGCGCGAAAGCGUGGGGAGCAAACGGG